GCUCCAGGCUCUGAGCUGCCAGCACAGAGCCCGACGCGGGGCUUGAACUCAGAGACCAUGAGAUCAUGACCUGAGCCGAAGUCGGAAGCUCAACCGACUGAGCCACCCCGGCACCCCGAAUACCAAUUUUUUAAUUAAAAUAAAGUGAAAUUAACUAUUCGGCUUUUUAAUUGCAUGAGCCACAUUUCAAAUGUUCAGCAGUCACCUGUAGCUAGUGGCUACCAUUUUGGACAACACGGCCCUAGAUUCUCAUCCCUCUCAGAGUUGGCUCUGGGGCCUCCAGGGGCUGAUGGGAGUGGGGGAGAUGCCAGUAUAAGUCAUGUCAGGCUGGUGUCGAGAUGGUGUCUGCUGAGCCCUCAGGAUCCUGAACACAGAAACCUUGUUCUGCCACUCAAUCCCAAAAGCACUGUUUUCGGCCAGUUUUCCUGGAACCAGAGCCUGAGAAAGAGUUUCAGGUGCACACAGUUUAUUGAGGGAUGCCCUAGAAGGAAACUUGUAAAGGAGUAAAGGAAGCAGAGGAAUGAGCUGGUCAGGGAUGUGGUCUCAGGUAAAUUCUAGCCUUGGUCUGAUCUGUGGGAACUCUGCAACGUGAACUGACUACAGAGUUCUCUCACCUGGAGACAAAGGUGCUGGCUUUUAUACCCCUAUAUCCUUCAGUCAUUGAUUCCUUGGGAUGAGAGUGAGGAUGACAUAUAUCCUAAUUUUCUAGGUGAGGCGGCUCAUUCAAUAGCAAUUGUCCAAAGAAGGUCACAGGUGGGAGCUUCAGGCCCUAGCACUUGCAGCAGCUGGGUGACGUGCGUACUAGCUAGUGAAGGAGAUUUGGACAGGAUACCGAUAGCCCAUAGCCACCUAAGCACAGAAGGCCAGGCCAGGACCUGACAAUACUUUCUGGCAAUUUGGCCUCAAGCCCCAGCAUGUUAUCAUAGUGAGUAGGGCUGGACCCUGGGGGCCACAGGGGCUCCCUUGCAUAGAGAAUUGAGGUCUAGAAUCGUAACAAGUCAGGCAUUCUCAUUGGCUCUUUCUUUCUGGGUCAACAUUGAAUCUCAGCUUUCUGCAUCACACUUUUGAGAUGGCAAAGAAAAGUGGGAAAAAGGAAAAGCAAAGAAACUGAAUCCCCAAAAGGAGAUACAAACCCUGUGGCCCAGUAUGAAGGCUUGUUCUUCAUUCAUUCCUCUAAGGAAUACUUAGUUAGUGACUCUGCUGGGCCAGGCACCGUGUGAGGUUGUAAAGGCAAAUUCCAAGGAGCGGUUCCAAGGCCAUUUUGAGCAAUGGCAGCGUGACUAAAAUACGUGCUGUUGUAGAGUUUUUGGUGUCCAAAGGCAGCGAUGGGCCAAGAGAGGUGGGGCUUGGGGAGAGCAAGGAUAAGUCUAGGACAGUCUAGGUCAGCAGGGAGUGCUGAAAAGUAUAGCAACAGGCCCCAGCGAGUCUGCCAGGGACUCCAAGGAAAGAGUUGAGGUCAGUCUGGGGCACUGGCCAAGUGGCAGGGUCUGAGUAAGCAAGUUAAGGUCAGCUUUCAGAAGCCCAGGCCAAGAAGAAGGGCUCAGGCAGAUGGAGGCCGGGCACAGAAGCAGUGCAGGGUGCCGGGUACAGAAGAGAAUAAAAAUGUAUUUAGCACUUAGUUCUUGCCAGCCACUUUGAACAUAUUUAAUCCUCACAAUAACCUUGCAAGAUAAGUAUGAGGCUCAGAAAGAUUAAAACAGUGCUUCUCAAAUUUUAAUGAGCCUACGAAUCACCUGAGGAUCAUGUUAAAAUGCAGAUUCUGAUUCAACAGGGCUGAGGUGGGGCCUAAGAUUGUAGACUUCUAACGAGCUCCUGGUGAUGCUGAUACUGCUGGUCCACAGACCAUACUCUGAGUCUGGAGAUGUUAAAACCCUUACCACAAAGUCAAUGCUUUCAUUAUCAUGAAGGGAAAGGCAGAUCAUGAGAGGCAGGAAAACAAAAGUAGUCUGGUUUGAGAGUCUGAUUUCCCAAAAACACAGUCAUGGCUCCGGGCCCUGGGCCCUGGCCUGUGGCUGUCUUCCCGGCUGGGCGUGGGCAGGGAGGUGUCCUGCCCUGAGGAGGGGAGUGGUCCACCCUGGAUGCCUGGGGAGGUGGGGGAACUCCUCUAGGUGUUUUCCUGGGGGGACUCACUCAUUUCAAUGCAUCUGAUCCUGUGUGUUUUAGUCAUUGUUCAUACUGGCUUAAUGAUCAGUGAAUUUGGAAAAUAUAUUGUGGUAAUAAUUCCUUUUCAGGAGGUGCGUUUAAAUGGGUAGGCUUAGAAAUGAAACCAAAUCCAUUUCUCAGAAGUUUUCUUAACCCUUUCUUUCUUUCUUUCUUUCUUUCUUUCUUUCUUUCUUUCUUUCUUUCUUUCUUUCUUUCUUUCUUUCUUUCUUUCUUUCUUCCUUUCAUGAUUUGUUCUUUACCUGAGACCUUCUCAGGGGUCUUAUUAUUAAAUUCCUUCUCCAUCUCAUUAUGGAUAAUGGCAUGAAGACUUACUGAAACAUGUCUUUAGGGCCCCCACUAGUUUUUCAAUUGUGGUAAUUAUUAUUACUUUUUUUUUUUUUAACAGGCCUUGUAUUCAUAAGAUGCUUAGAGCUUCUAGAAUGCUUUCAUUGACAUUUUCUUCAUUUUGAUCUCCUUGUAAUGCAGGAGGUCUGUUACUUCUCCAGUUGAUUGAGGAGGAAAUGGAGGCACAGAAAGGUGAAGUGAACUGCCUAGGGUCGCGUGGCUACGUAAACGGUGGAGAUAGUAACAAUUUUGAGCACUGGCUGGUGUCAGGCGCUGUGCUAAGAGCUGUAUAUGUAGUAGGUCAUUUAGUCCCUGCCCCAAACCCAUUAUUAUCCCUCAUUUUACAGAUGAGAACACAGAGGCCCAGAGGGAUUACCUAUGUAUUCAAGGUCGCACAGGUACCAAGGGGUAGAGCCAAGGUCUGAACUGAAGCAGAGGUGUAUCUACGUUCUAUGCUAGAAAGGGAAUGUUGCAAUGUUUGCAAAAACAAAAGCAAAAGCAUAUAUGAGGGUUUCUCCAGCUCUGUCCUAGAGUAAUGGUGUCCUGGCUGGCCACAGUGAAGACCAUAGGAGGCUUGGAUUAUCAUUCUCCUGUAGAAGGAAGGGCUUUGCCAGGCUCCCCAAAUGGGUGGAUGGUAAAUAAGUCCUCUUAGAAGCAUCUGUUGGGCCCAGCCAGCACUAUGUCUGAGAGUAUCUGACAUUUAUACUUUGGUGCAGGGCCAGCUCCCAAACACUCCCACCCCAGUCUGCCCCUUACUUCUUCUGACUCACCUUGCUCAGCCCAUGUGCACGCCUGGGCACCUGAAUCAGAGUCUCAGCUGAAAUCAACUUCACCCAGAUGGUACAACUGAGGAGACUUUCAGGAGGGAUCUGCUUACAAAGGUGUGUUCAGGUCAAGGGAACAAACAGGAUGUUGAGGCACCCAGAGACUGGCAGGAAGAUGUUACCACCCUUUUAGGCUUGGAAGGAGAAAGGGGCAAAAAGGUCGUCUUACCAGAGCUCGUGUGAGCUGGAGCCAUUGAGGAGCUGUGGCUGUGGAGGGGUGCAGCCAAGGCCACAAAUACGGUGCAGAGCUGAAUCCUCUCUUCUCCCACUUUCCAGUCUCCGGCCAGUGCCUCUCAUUGCUGAGUCCAAUCAGUAUCCACCUGACGAGGGAGCCCAGCUGAUGCAGUCCCCUGGGAUCAGUUUCCCUGCGCGCAGAGCAGGGCAGAGGAAGGGGGAGAGUGCACGCAGGAGAGCAGGGCCAGGCAGAGAAUAGCCAGCACAUGACCACAUCAGUUGUUUACCUCACAACCCAGACACUAGGCAGACCCCCUACUUCCUCCCCACUGCAGUCCCACAUGUUGGGCUGAACCUCCCUAUCGUGCAUCAUUUACUCCCUUGGCUCUGAGUUUUCUGACCCCAAGUUCUUUUUCCAAAGAGGCUCCCCUGCUAUGAGGAAAAUGGAAGACUGGCCAACAGGAGCGUCCUGAUGUGCUUGAGAGUGGAUUUGCUGGAUGUGUAAGCUGGUUUUCAGGAAUUUGAAUUGCUCUGGUGUGAAACUGAGUGUAUGCCAUGCCUGGCUGACGGAGAACAAGAACUUACAGACUAAGAGAGGCAGUGGUGAGCCAGAAGUUACAUCACGGUGCCUGGAGCAUCAUGGCCCCAUAAAGAACAACAGUCUGUGAGGUCCACACCUUCAACAUUUGAAUGUUGAAGAAGGCUCUGAGUUUAUGUAAAGCCUUUGACGUUGUGAGAACAGACUUAGAAGCCAGAUUGCUUGCAUCCAAAUCUAGACACCACCACUUACUGGGUAAGUUACUUCACUUCUCUGACCCGCAUUUUUCUCCUCUAUAAAAUAAAAGUAAUAAAAGCACCUACCUUGUUAUCUGUUGCCGUAUAACAGAUCAUCCCCACAGUUGCUGGCUUAAAGUCACAGGAGUCUAUCAGGAAUCUGCAAUUUGGGCAGAGCUUGUCUCCGCUCCAUGCCACGUCUGGGCCCCCAGCUGGAGUGACUCAAAUGGCUGGGGCUGGAUCUGCUGAGGGCUGGCUGGGCAUUUCAUUCUCCCUUUGCACAGAGCCAAGACUCUAUGAGAUUUCUCAUGGUACUUCCAGCUCAUGGCCUCAGGAUAGACAAGCAUCUUAUAUGCAUUUCAAAGCACUAGGAGCAGGUAAUCUGGAAGAAUAAAGUAGAGGUUUGGAGGCCAUUUUGCUUUAAUCCAGCAGUCACACAAUCUACUAACACCAAAUUCUAUUUGUCACACAGGCCAGCUCUAAUGCGUUUGGGAGGGGACUCCGUAAGGGCAUCCUCACUGAGUGGGGAGCAGUGUGGAAGCUGGGUAAUAAGAGUUCGUACGUCUGUGUAGACUGAGUGUGCGAGAGGGCUGUUCUGGGGCCUCCGAGGGACUUGUCAGGAGCCAUAGGUUAUUGUGGUUGACUAACUCUUAGGCUUCCAUUUUGCAGAGUGAAGUAUUAUAUCUGAGAAGAUCUGAAGUGCUUGGGGCAGUAAACAGGGCUUUGGAGGCUGUCUGGGGAAGGAAGCAGGGAGCAGCAAAGGAGCUGACUAGAAGAGGAUUUGGAAGGGAACCAAGAUACCCCUUAGGAAUUGAAGAAGUCUUGUGGUGUGUGAGGUCAAUCCUCUCUCCAUUCUCUCCAACAAAACCUUCAGUAAAUUGUCUCUUCUGUGAGUGCAUUGUGGAUCUGUCUUGAGGGGCACAUCAAAUGGUGAAGACAGAGCACAAGCAAAGGAGGGGCAGAGAGAGAGGGAGACACAGAAUCCGAAGCAGGCUCCAGGCUCUGAGCUGUCAGCACAAAGCCCAAUGCAGGGCUUGAACUUGUGAACCUCGAGAUCAUGACCUGAGCCAAAGUUGGCCACUUAGCCACCUGAGCCACUCAGGCACCCCUCACAUUUGAUCCUUACAACAGAUCCUGGAAGUAUCACACAGUGGCUAUAGCAAGGAGGGCUUGAACUGAACUAUGUCUGCAUGGAGCGCAACCAAAGAAGAGUCAAGUGUGCAAAAGAAUAACAAGUCAAUGGUGUUCUCCAGGGCUGUCCAUUAGAGAGCAUAGACUCAGGUAGAUUUGAGAAAAGAGGAAAAACGGGCUUUGAGGAUCUGAAAAUUGACUCCCGUAAGAACUCAAGACUCACAUGGAAAGUUGUCCAGAUUCUUGCUAUUGUAGUGUGGUCUGUGGACAGGCAGCAUUGGCAUCAACUGGGAGCUGGGUAGAAAUGCAGACUCUUGGGCCUACUCCAGACCUACGGAAUCAGAAUCUGCAUUUGAUGGAAUCUCAGGGUGAUUUGCAAGCACAUUCAAGUCUGAGAAACACUGAGCUGGACCACCGCCACUCCCCUCCCGGAAGAACGUGGCUUCGUAGCCUGGAAUCUGUCCGUGUUCUCCGCGUGGGCUCCUUCCUAGGGUAGGCUAUCAUUUAAAUACCUCUUCAGCGUCUGCUGCUAAUGCUGCUGGCUUCCGUUCUCUACGAAGUCUGCUGGUUGGGUUUCUAGCAGCCUAUGGGACUGGCUGAGCUGGGCUUUCUGAUUCCAAAUAAUUUGAAAAGCUGCUUAUGUAAGACUAGAUGGCCCCUAAGGGACCCUUGGUAAGUGUUGGUUGAUAGCUCUUACUUCCUUCUCGCUAAUGGUCAGAUUUGGGUAGGUCUGUUUUCCUCCCUGAGUUUCAUUCCAGCCUGUGAUUUUGAAUCACUUGAUGUUAAGAUUGGCAAGACCCGCCUGUGUCACGGAGAGGUUUCCUCCCAUCAUCCCUGUGAACACUGUCAUUAGGGGAGCUGCAAAUAGAAUAGCUUUUUUUUUCCUUUUUUUUUUUUUUUUUUUUACGGAAAAUAAAAGCCCAUUCACAUCGAGGGUCAAAAGCUACUGGCUCUAACAAGAAGAAAAUGGCUGUGGUUGUAUUUUUGAAAUGUUUUCGCCUUUCUCUGUAUUUUUUGCUGGGUUGACAGUUGUGCUAUCUGAGCUUGGCCUAGCCCUCCGCCCUCCCUCCUGGCCCCACAUUCACUCUCCAUGUGUGUGGGAUUCCAGACCUCUAAACAAGGGGGCCUGGCACCAAAGCUUCCCUCUUGGGCACAAACACCCAAGUGGCAGUGGUGUUUGGGAGCAGAAGUCCGUGGGAAGGAGCAUUUCCCCGACAUCAUUCUCACUUUGCCUCCACGGCAGAAAAGCCCACAGUGUGCUGGACAGAGCAAGGACUGCCCAGAGUUCAAAAUCUGCUCCAUCACUCAUUAGCUGAGGGAUGCAGACAAGUUACCUAAGCUCUGUGAACUUCUAUGUCUCUAUCUCUAAGAUGGCCAGCAGCUCGAAGGGCCACAAGAGAAUUAAAUGAGGCUUAGCACAUAAGUAGCUGAAUGGAUGUAUAUAACAGAUUUUCCUCCUCCUUCCAAAACAAAUGGACAGUGCUUCUUAAAAAUCAUUGCUUCAUAAAAUCAUGGGAUUCUAGCCCAGGGCAAGUUCUUAAAAAUCAUCUCAUUCACUCGUGAAGAUACUGGCAGAAAAAUAAUCUGCACCGAUGAGCCAAAUUUCAGAUUUUACAAUAGCACUUAUAUGCCAAUAAUACUUUAAGAUGAUGGUGGCCAAGAAGAGACACAUUUCCCUACUGCUGAUCAACCACAGAUCAGUGUUAUAGGUUAUGAGAGCUAAGUCACAACAUGCAUAGACAAGAGAGAUCACACAGUAGAGCAGAAGCACAGCACUGAGAGUCCUCAAAUGCAUUUUUUUUCCUGCCUUGCACAGCAUUUUGUAUAGUGAAAUUAUAUACCCUUAUUGGCAGUUUCCAAAGUGUGGUCCCUUAGCAGCAGCAGCAGCAGCAGCAGCAGCAGCAACAGCUGGGAAAUUGUUAGAAAUGCGAAUACUCCAGCUCCGGCCCAGGCUUACUGAAUCAAAAAUCCUGGGGGUGGGACCAUCAGUGUUUUAGCCGAGCUUACAUGUGAUUCCCAUGCACACUAGAGGUCAGGUAUUACUGGUUUACAUUAUGACAGCUUACAACCAUCUUUUCCAAUGCAAAGUAAAAUGAUAUCAUAAAUGUCUUAGCAUUUUAAUUUCCGCACCUCCUUGACAUAUACUGUGAAAAUUCCAGAUAUUACUGUCUGCUGAUUCUUGCAGAGAUAUGCAUGAACACAGUCACCAGAUAUAACUUUCUCCACUGUCCUGGGUGGGAUUUAUUUAAUCAUGAAGUAAUAAUAAGGAGAAUGAUCUUUUUAAAAAAAUUUUUUUUUAACAUUUAUUCAUUUUUGAGAGCCAGAGAGAGAGAGAGUGCGAGUAGGGGAGGAGAGGAGAGAGAGGGAGACAUAGAAUCUGAAGCAGGCUCCAGGCUCUGAACUGUCAGCACGGGGCCCGACACGGGGCUCGAACUCACAGACUGUGUGUGAUCGUGACCUGAGCCGAAGUCGGACACUUAACCGACUGAGCCACGCACCCCUUUAAGGAGAAUGAUCUUGAAAACCAAGCAAAUGAAUCUUAUCUCACUUCUGUUCUCUAGAAAUACCUUUCUUCUAGAGUUACAAUAUAUUUAUAAGUUUAUUACAAAUUAUACAGACCACUAGGUUUUCAUUUCCACACUUUAGCAAUUCCAUCUAAAGACGCAAUUGCAAUGAAGCCCUGUGUUGUCUGGAACGUGGCAACGUCUGUGAUGAUUUUGUGGUGUCCCACAGGCAGAGGCUCUGGGGCCCCUCUGAGGGGUGUCAUCGCUCAGUCCCACCUUCUGCUUCCUCUGAUUUACUGCUUCAUGGUUAAAAGUCAAGGAGAAAGUCAGAUGUUAAAAGCCUGUACCACAUUCUGCCUCUCAUUCAUAUUCCCUUAUCAUUGGCUAUUUAUGAGUCUGCCACAAUCCCCCAGAUUAGGGAUCCUUCAAGGGCAACUGUCAUCUGUUUAAUUCCCCUUCUACAAGGUGGGCAGGAAAUAGACAUUCAUGAACAUAAGUGAAACAGAAGCCCAGCGAGGACGAGAGGCUUACUGAAGGCUGUGGGUGCCCACGGCUGCUCCUUAUUGCUCCCUUUGUUGCACCAUUUCUGUUUAUUGUGUGGGUUUUAUUACUUACUUUAGUUCCAUGUGGAAUUCUCUAGAGACUUUGUAAAUGAUUGACUGCGUUCAUCCCCAAAACUGCGGAUACCUGGCUUUGUAAAUAUAGUGGAAGACAGGAGAUCCGCAGCUAAAAGCUUCCUAAUGAGGACAACUCGAACAUGUUAUUUUCAACAUUCAACUCCCAAGUUUGAAUAAUUCAUGAAAAAAAAAUCUGUUGAACUAGAAGUGACUGGGCUAUUUUAAUGAAAGUAGAGACUUGAAAUGUUUCAGAGCUGGAGAUUAUGUGAGGGAAGUGCAGGCAGGGAGAAGUGACCAGCCCAGCACAGGGUGAGCUCAGGUCUUCUCCGACCAGGACUCCCAUUGUCCAAGGUCACACCAGCCACGGUGGUGGUCAAGCCCAAACCAGAACCAAGACUUUGAGAUGCACAUGCUCAGCUGUCUCCACUGAGACACACAGCUGGCCACAGACACCAAGGGGGUCCGGCCCAAGGUCCUUCUCUCUUGCAUUGCGGGGCCACAGAAGACACAGCAGAUUGUAUUUCCUUUUCGGUCUUCAGUGUAGCUCAGUUGAUCUCAGCUGGCUGUACUUUAGAACCCCUUGGGGAGCGUUUACAAAAUCUGGAUGCCCAGAACCCACCCCAAACCAAUUAACUAAGUCUCUUGGGGUGGGACCCAGGCCUCAGUCUUUUUAAAUCUCCCUAGGCGAUCUCAACCUGCAGCCGAGUGUGAGAAACAUCAAGUCUAGCCCGUCUCAGUCUUGUUUCUCCUAUUCCCUUAAAUGCCAGCAGAUCUCUCUUGUUACUUCUGUUUUCUUUUGCUAAUCCUCAGGUUUUAACGCUGUAAUCACACAGUUUACGUUUUGGGUGCCGCCAUUCCAAGCCAUUUAAGACAUCUGCAAAAACCUAGCCCUGUAGUCUCCUCCUUAUCUACUUGUCUCUCUGUUGGCUUGGUUUCUGUGUCCCUCCUCCUGGCCUCCACAAGGUCACUCCUCCAGGGCCUCACUCUCCCUCCAGGAGCUGCCAUUUGUAGCCCUUCUCUGCACCUCCCCUCAAUACCUCCUCCUUCUGAGCUUCUGCGGAUGGCAGCUGGGGGGCUGGACUAGAGGGACUGGAGGCCCCCCGCUGGACGAAUCUUCAGGGAGGGCUGCCCCUGUGGUGAUUGGUCCCAGAGGGAACAAUUCUUGCAACAGCUCUUCUCUUCUUGCUGGCUAAGUGUGUGGGUGUGCAGCAGGCAUUUGCUAGGGAACGUCGGCAAAAAAUAAAACUUUUCAAGCUUCAAUUCUGCAGACAGAUUGAGAGGCCCCCCAACAGUUCAGAAUUGCCGAAUCUGGCUCCAUCCACCCACUUAAGCCCCAGGAAGUGGUAGGUCGAGUUAGAUGUGUUUGGAUUUUGUUAACAGUGGCCUAGCGUAUGGGAGUUUAAAUCAGAAGGGUGAUACUUUAAGAUAAACCAGUAACAGGUAAUUAUUGGACAUUCACUGCAUGUAGGGCACUGUGCUAGACAUUGAUAAAACCAUGUGGGAGGUCACCACUGAUAAAGGUGCUUUAUGAACAAUGGAAGAUAAGGAACAGAGGUUUGGGGCAGGCUGUGGUCAGUCUGAAGUUCAAGAAGAGCAGAGGGCUAAAAUUCAGUCCCAAGGCAAGGAUAAGAAGGAAAUAAAAAGAGCCAUAAAAGGGGGAGGAGGCGGGGUGAGUAACACUGCGUGUUUAACUUCCUAGGAUUUAAAGUCCUGGAAUUAUUUGCCUAGCCCAUGCUCAACAACCAUACUGCGGUCUCCAUAUUGUUUUAAUCUCGCCAUUUUGACCCUCAGGACAUUCAGACCCCUCAGAGAGCUUAGCAAACAGUAUCUCAAGAUAGCUGCAGCUUCUGUCUCAAUCUGUCUCCCCUGUGUGUGUCUCUUUUUGUCAUUUUCUGACUCCUACACUUUAUCUCCCUUGCUAUGUCUUAGAUACAUAGCAUUUUUUCAUGGAUAAGUAAAGAAAUAAAUCUAAGCUCUCAGCCUAUUACCAAGUAAUAAUGAAUAUUCCUGAUGGAAAUAACCACCACAAAAUAAGAGUAACAACAGCUAAAACUACAUACUGGGGAAAAAAUGGCCUGAAGAAUCCAACCUUGACCAAAAUGUAGACACCCAAAUCUGACUGGGGAAAAAAUUGGAUUUAGUAGAAAUAAUGGCCACAAAAUGAAAGGCAGAUGUUAUAAUUGGGAAGAUUUGACACGGAUGAAAACCUGAAUCAGAUUUCCUUGUAACAUUUAAACAGCAAAAGAAUUAAUGCUGAUGAAAAUAAGUCCCAUAAACUAUAAUAAAAGUGGUAAAACUGGAAACGAAUUGUGCUUAGGGAAUCAAUGAAUUUUAUUACUUAAUGACAUUUGUUCUGGGAACCUUCAUGCACAGUUGGUGGGAACAUAAACUGGUGCAGCCACUAUGGAAAACAAUGUGAGGUCCCUCAAAAAAUGAAAAAUAGAAAUACCAUAUGAUCCUGUAAUUUUACUUCUCAAUAUUCACCUGAAGAAAACAAAAAAACUAAUUCAGAAAGACACAUGCACCCCUAUGUUUAUUGCAGCAUUAUUUAUAAUAGCCAAGAUAGGAAACAAGCCCUAUGAAUGAAUAAAGAUGUCAUGUAUACAUAUAUGCAAUGGAAUAUUACUCAGACAUAAAAAAAGAGAAGAAAUCUUGCCCUUUGUGACAACCUGGAUGAACCUAGAGGAUAUUAUGCUGAGUGAAAUAAGUGAGACAGAGAAAGACAAAUACCAUAUGAUUACACUUAUAUGUGGAAUUUAAAAAACAAAACAAGUGAACAAACAAAAAAUCAGAAACAGAAUCAUAAAUAGAGAGACCAAACUGGUAGUUGCCAGCAAAGGAAGAGGUUGGAGAGUAGGUUGAGGAGAUUAAGGAGAUUAAGAGGCACACACGUUUAUAAAAUAAAUAAAUCACAAGAAUGAAAAGUACAGCAUAGGGAAUAUAGUCAAUAAUAUUGUAAUAACAUUGUAUGGUGGCCAAUAAUAACUACACUUACUGUGGUGAGCACAGCAUAAUGUAUCUAAUUGUCAGUCACUAUGUCGUACAUGUGAAAUGAAUAUGAUAUUGUAUGCCAACUAUACUUCAGUAAAGAAAACACUUAUUCUAGGGGCACCUGGGUGGCUCUGUCUAAGCCUCAGACCCUUGAUUUUGGCUCAGGUCAUGAUCUUGUGGUUGUGAGAUCAAGUCCCAAAUUGAUGUCCAAGCUGGGCAUGGAGCCUGCUUAAGAUUCUCUUUCCCCAACUCACUCUGCCCCUCCCCUGCUUGGUCAUUCUCUCUCUCUUUCAAAAACAAACAAAACACUUAUUGUAGAAAUUAGUUUCUUGAUAGAAAUCUAUCAAUGUUGGCAUAAUUUUGAUUAAAACAUUUAUGGCCAAACUUCCAUUGGGGUAGCAUUACAGUCAAAAAUUAUCAUAACUCCACAGAGGCUGCCUCCUGAAGAGGCAGCUGGGUGGAAGCUAAAUCACAACUCCAGGGUAAAGACCUGGGAAUCUGUAUUUCUAAAACAAUAUGUCCCGUUUUGAAUCUUAAUUUAAACAAUUUAAAAAUGUUUUUGGAGCAGCUCACCUGGGUGGCUCAGUUGGUUAAGCGUCUGACUUCGGCUCAGGUCAUGAUCUUGCAGUCUGUGAGUUCAAGCCCCACGUCGGGCUCUGUGCUGAUAGCUCAGGGCCUGGAGCCGGCUUUGGAUUCUGUGUCUCCCUCUCUCUCUGCCCCUCCUGCACUCAUGCUCUGUCUCACUCUCUCUCUCAAAAAAAAAAAAAAAAAAACUUAAAAAAAGAUUAAAAUGUUUUUGGGGGCAACUAGGAAAGUUUAAGCAAGGACAGGAUAUUAGAUAAUAUUAAGCAAUUAUUAUUAUUUUUUAGGUAUAAUAAUGAUGUUACAAUCAUGUUUUUGAGAAGUCCUAUUAUGGACUGAAUUGUGUUCCCCCAAAAUUUAAAUGUUGAAGCCCUACCCCCCAAAGGGACUAUAUUUGGAGACAGGGCCUUUAAAGAAAUAAUUAAGAUUAAAUGAGAUCAUAAGGGUGGAGCUCUAAUCCAGUAGGCCUGGUGUCCUUAUAAGAAGAGGAAGAGAUACCAUGAGUGCAUGGGCACAGAGAAAAGGCCAUGUGGGGUUACAGAGAGAAGGUGGCCAUCUGUAAGCCAAGGAGAGAGGCCUCAGGAGAAACCAAACCUGCUGACGCCUUGAUCUUGGACUUACAGAUUCCAGAACUGUUAGAAAAUAAAUUUCUGUUGUUUAAGUCACUGAAUCUAUGGUAUUUUGUUAUGGCAGGUCUAGCAAACUGAGACUAGUCUGUACAUAGUAGAGAUACCUAGUGAAUUAUUUAUAUGUAGAACAAUAUGAUGUCUGAGAUUUGCUGUAAAAUACUCUGGGGAAAAAUGCUUCGGAAAUAAAAAUUUAGAGUAAUAGAUGAAACAAGACUGGCUAAGAAUUGACAAUUAUUGGAGCUGGGUCACAGGUACACAGAGGUUCGUUACACUAUUCUCUUCUAUUGUAGAGUGCUUUUGAAAAUAUCCAAAUAAGUUGAAAAAAUUGACAGUGACAAUUGUAAGGUGAUUUUGAUACAUAUCUAAAGUAGGUAAUUACUGAGAAAGGGUUUUCCAAAAUCUGGUGUUCUAACCCGGGCUGAAAUAAAUGUGUUAUUAACAUCUACUUAUAAAUAAGAAUUUAACUGAAUUCAAUAAGGUGGUAGGGAAAGGAAUCAAAAUGCCAAACACAAGCACGGGAGCUGUGGGCAAGGGACAGCAGGCAGGGAAGAAGGAAUCAGUAUUUACCAAGCGCCUAAUGUGUACAAGAUGCUUUGUAAACAUUAUCUUUGGACGCUCACACAGGUCUACGAAGUAGACUUUUUAAAGUUUUAAUUUUUUAAAAAAGUUUUAAUAUGAAGAAACGAUGGCCCAGAGAAUGUGAAUGAAUUCCCAAGACCCCACACUAGGAGAUGGCUGAGCUGGGAUUUUAUUCCCAUCUGACUGCCCCCAAAGCUUGCAUUCUUUCCCCUACCCAUCACCUCCUCUCUAGAUAUUACCAAAUGCCAGGCCACACAGGGCAGAGAAAUUUUAAGGAGAAUGGGAUCAUAGAGGGAUGGGGCCAAUAGGGACUGACAAAGGACCGUAAAGGGCUUGAGCUUGGAUGGAAGUCCUGGAGGUACAGCAAAGGACAGGAGAGCAUCUGAGGGGUGGGGAGGGAUGGCAAGACGCAAAUGCAGAAACUUGGUGGCAGAUAGAGAAUGAGACGCCACUGUGGGCUCUUGGCUCCUGGGGAGACGUGGUGAGGGCAGGAUUGGGUUAUGGGCAGUGAAAUUGAAAGAAGAGGUGUCCCAGGACUUGGACCUGGAUACAGUUGGUUAAAAUAACAGAUUUCAAAUCUAGGUGGGAAAAUGAUGCCUCCAUCAACAGAUGAGGAAAGCCAGGAGGAACUUCUUUCAGGUGGGGAGGGGAGAAAGAAAGAAAUACAGGUUAAACGUGUAGAAUUGGAGAUGAUAGUGGAACACCCUAAUGGAGAAGCCCAGAUGGCAGUUGGGUUGACAGAAUUUUAGAUUUGAAAAAUCAUCUGGUCUACCCCUUCAUUCAAGAGUAUGAAUCCAAGGGGCGCCUGGUGAGUGAGUCCUCAAGUCUAGCUUACACUAUGAUAUAAAAUGUGAUAGUCAUUUUAUUCUUGUCUGCUUACCACGUUCCAGGCACUGUUCUAGGCAUUGGAGAUGCCUAGCGGUAGAUAGAUUGCCUGAAUUAUUAUAAAGGCCUUUUCAUUGGUCUUCUUGCUUUCACCCUGGCAUCUCCUUCAUUUUCUCUCAGCCAGUAGCCAUUAUAGUUUCUUUGUUACACAUAUAGUCUAUGUACAUGGACUAAAAAUGUAAACGGAACCCACUAGACUGUGCUGUGGAAUGUACACCCCAUAGGGCUAUAUGUGGCAGCCCCAGGAAAGGGAUCCUGUUAAAAGACAGAUCACAUUACCCCUCUGCACAAAAUGCUCUAGAAACUCUUCUCUACUCCCCAAACAGGUAAGCCAUACACUAGCCUCAGAACCUUGGUGCUGGUGCUUCCUUCUACCUAGAGAAAGCUCUUCUGCCAGAUAUCCAUCCAGAUCUCCUUCGAGGCUUCACUCAAAUGUCACCAUUUCCUUGAGGCCUUCCUUGGCCACCUGUUUUAAAUUGCAACUAUUUCCAUCUUCUUCCGCUACAUUCCUAUUCUCCUAUACCUGGCUGUCGCUCAUGCUCAUGCUCCUGCUUUUUUUUUUUUUUUUUUUUUUUUUGCCCACUUGUUUUUUUCUAACACACUAUUUAUGUUAACUUUAAGUUGUCUGUCCACCUUCAUUGGAAUAGAAGCUAGACAGUGGCAGGGCCUUUUGUCCCAUUUGUUCACUGUUCAAAUCCCAAGAAUUCAUAACAGCGCCUGGCACAUAGGAAGUGCUCAACGAAUGAAUGAAUUCAUCGUUUCAUGACUGAAGUACGCAUGACAGCAUAACUGAUUGAAUGAAGACAUAGGCUGAGUGCUGAGGGAUGACAAUGCGGUGCCAAUUCAAGCUACCUGAGAAUGUCAGUGUAAGUUUCACAGAAGAGGUGACACUUGAUCUAGGACUUGAAAGAGAGGGAGGUGGGUCGAGGCAGGUGUGGUAGGCAGAAUAAUGGCCCCCAAAGAUAACCAGGUCCUUUUUCCUGGAGUCUGCGAACAUUACCUUUAUAUGACAGAAGAGACCUUCAGGUGUGAUUAAGUAUCUCGAGGUGGGAGAGGUUGUCCGAUAUUAUCCCGGUGGACCCCCAAAUGCAAUCACAAAUACCCUUAUAAGAGGGCGACAAAGAUAGGUGUAACAGCAGCAGAAGUGAAGGUGACAAUGAAGCAAGAUACUUACUUUGCUGCUGGCUUUGAAGACGAAGGAAGGAACUUGGAGCCAAGGAAUGCGAAGAAUGUAGUUCUAGAGGCUGGAAAAGACAGUUGGAUUCUUCCCCAGAGCUUUCAGGGAGCAUGGCUCUGCUGACACCUUCAUUUUGACUUGGGUGAACUGAAGUUUGGACUUUGGACCUCCAGGACUGUGAGGAAAUAAAUGUGUGUUGUUUUAAGGCACAUGGUUUGUGGUAAUUUGUUACAGCAGCCAUAGGAAGCUAAUACAGCAGGUAAGGGGAUCCUAGAAAGAGCGAGUCGUAUGUACAAAUCAUGAAAGUGGCAGCACAUUGAAGAAUCCCCUGAGAAGUCGAAUGGAUCUGUGUUCAGCAAUAGGGAAUGGAGAAAGAUGGGGCUGGGCAGGUAGCGGGGGCUAGAUUGCGAAGGGCCUUGCACGUCAGGUCAAGGAGUUGAGUGUGUUCCACUGGCAUACACUGUGCUGUGUUGCCCAGAUCCCCUUUCAGGACCGGUGGGCUUAAGCUUCAUGGAGUGCUGCUAGCACAUGGCCCCGUGUCUCAGUUCUCUUGCACUCUUUCCUGAAGGCAGCCGCCUUGCCUGAACUCGCGCAGCUUCCUGGAGCAGCCUACAUCUGAUGACUGGUCUACAUAGGAGUAGAAAGAGGCUACCCAUCUUACCCCACUUCAGGAGAACUCUGAAGGGCCGUCCCAGUAUCGAAAGUCCCCCUUGGGAUUAGUUGCAGCUCUGCUGUGAUGACUUCUCCGUGUGCCCAGUCCUGUCUCCUUUCCUCCUGGCCACAGGUGUUCAUGUCAAGAGCUCUGCUGAGUAAGCAUCGGACCUGCUGGUCUCUGUCUCGUCCUGCUUCUCUGGGAACUCAGCCUGCCAAUGUGAGCUAACAAGUCUUUAAGCAAGAGAGUGAAAAGAUAUCACCCUCUUCUUACCUUGUUAGCUGCUCCUGCUCGGUCCAUUGCUGGCUGCUCUUUACCUCCACAACCUUCUGAUGUUGCAGUGUCCCAGAUCCCAGUCCUUGGACCUCUUCUCUUUCUUACCUCCCUCAUCCAAUGUGGGAGCUUAAUAAGUCGGUGACCCAUCUGAGCUGGCAUCAGAGGAAGGAUCAGGGUGCUCAAAAGAAGGGCCUUGGAUGAUGGCCUCCAAGGCACCCUCUUUCUGUGAAAGGGAGCAAGAGGAAUCAGUCAAGUUUCCUCACUGUGAUGGGCCGAGGAGCUCUGUGUAUUCCCUGUGGAUAGUGGCCUGCCACUGGAGAGGCCACAGGCUGGAGCAAGGAGCUGACUCAUAGGGUAAGGAGAAAAUGGCCUGGAUCUUUCACAGAGGUAAGCAGUGUCCAAUUGCACUGGGGGGAGGAGGGAGAGGUUAUGACAAAGAAAGCCGUAUCUAUUCCACUGAGCAAUUAAUGCCAUUAUUUUUCUUAAAAAAGCAUUUUCUCUUAAGCCAUCGAGGAUAAUUUAGCCUCCAUCUUGACAGAAUGUACUAAUGACUGCUAAUGGAUACAUUCUUUUAAUAAAUGAAGAGGCACAAGAAAAUUGCCUGAUAUUAAACAGAGUCCCACAUGUCUUAUCGGAGUCUAUAAUGGCCCUAUCAAGUGACCUAAAUGAAAGAAAUGUGACUCUUCAGGGGUUAAAGGAGUCUAUUUUUUCUUAGUGCAAUAUAAAUUCGCUGCUAGGGAGAACAGUAAUUCAUUGGUCUAUCCUAAGAAAUGUUUAAAAGGGGGCCAUAUCUCAAGUUAAAUGAUGCAUUUCCUAUUGGUAGCGAAGAAAAUAUGAAAUAGAACCUCUGUGCAGUGUGGAUAUAUAUAAAUAGCCUCUUAUCUGGCAAUAGAGCCCAAAACUCUUUUGGGUCUUUGAUCCUUGGAAUUUUUAGCCCAGAAGUUGAAGAGCCUGGUAAUUUGUUAUUAAUUUUGUCCAAUUUUUUUCAAUACCUUCCAGGGUGCUUUUUGUUGGUUGGUAUGAUUUGGUAAUUUUAAACUCUAUUCUUGGAAAUGUUUCUCCAGAUUCAAGUAAUUCCUAGUACUCUACCUUCAGUGGGACACUUCUAAAAAUGAAUAAAGAAUUCCAACAAAUCAAUAAGAAAAAGACAAACAACCCAAAAGAAAAAUGGAUAAAAGAAAUGAACCAGAAAAUCAAAGAAGAAGAAAUGGCCAAUAAUGAUACGAAAAGAUGAAUGAUCUGUAUUAUAGUCUUUUGCAACUUGCUGUUUGCAAUACAACACUAUGACUCUAAGCUUUUCAUCCACCCGUGGUAUUGUGUGUGGCAAUAUUCAUUUUCACUAGUGUGACAGUAUUUCAUUUGGUGAGUAUUCCACAAUUCUAUUCUCCCCAAAAUACAUGUAGCGUGAAUCUAUAUUUAUAAUGCUCAAAAACAGCUACAAAUCAUAUAUUAUAUUGCAAAACAAUACUUGAUAGAACUAUUUUUUUUUAAAAAGCCAAGUAAUGAUAAAGACAAAUUUCAAGAUAAUGUUUCCUUGGGGAAGGGGGAGAUUGACAUUGGGGAUGAGAUGAGAGAAUGUAUCUGUUAUCUAUUGCUGCAUAAGGAACCACACUGAAGCUUAGUGGCUUAAAACAAAAAUCAAUUAUUUCUCAUAAUUCUCUGGGUCAAGACUUCCCACAGGGUUCUUCCACACAGAACCAUCUGGCCCUCUCGUGCAACUGCAUUCAGCAGGACUGGGCUCGAUGGUCAAGAUGGCCCCACCCUCAAGGCUGCUAUGCCUUGGACCUUUUCUACUUGAUUUCUCUCACCAUGUGGUGUCUCAUCCUCCAGGGCCUCUUUUUCCAUGUGGCCUUUCCCUCCAGCAGGGUAGACUGGAUGUUCUUUACAAGGAGAAAACACCCACACAGUACUUAUGUAAUUAAAACUUAAUUACAAUUAAAAUAUAUUACCUAAUGAAAGAGUGCUCUGUGGCCAGAUUGUUUUUGGAAAUGCUGCAUACAGCAUCCCCUGUUAGAGCUUCAUAAUGCAAAAAAUAAAAAAAUAAAAAAAAAUAAAGCUUGCUAAAGGCUUUGAGAAGUCUCCCAAGGAGCAAAGAAGAAAAGACCUGCUUUGGUGAAAGGAGCUGGUAAGAGAAGGCAGAAGCGCUCCGCCUUCUCUGUCCUCAGGGAUAUAGGAAGGGAGUACUGAGGUAGAGAAAGCUCGAAGGCUGGGGCUCAUCAUCUGAACUCUGCUACUCCUGCUCCUUCAAAGCGCAGUGUAACUGAGGGAGGCUCUGACAGCCUCACACGUGAGGCCGGAAGUGGCCUGGAGGCCAGAGAGUCAACAGUGCUGCUCCUGGAAUUAAGUCACCUAGGUCCCAGUCCCUCCCCGCUGCCCUGCCCUGCUCUUGAAUUAGCUCAUUUUCCUGACUCCUAUCUCUAAUUUGCUUUAACC